GAUGAACGCGGGCGGCGUGCCUAACACAUGCAAGUUGAGUGUACGGACGUGAAGUUCGCAUCCGUGAUGUUACCGGCGGACGGGGGGGUAACAUGUCGAUAACCUACCCACAAGACUGGCAUCACUUCGGGAAACCGGAGCUAAUACCGGGGCAUAUCCUGAACCGCAUCGGUGAAAAGUGAAAGACGGUCCUGCAGUGACGUAUAGAUGGAUCCGCGCCGCUUUAGCUAGUUGGUAAGGUAACGGCUUACCAAGGCAACGAUGCAUAGCCGACCUGAGAGGGUGGUCGCCCACACUGGAACUGAGACACGGUCCAGACUCCUACGGGAGGCAGCAGUAGGGAAUCUUCCGCAAUGGGCGAAAGCCUGACGGAGCAACGCCGCGGGAGUGAUGAAGGUCGUCGGAUCGUAAAACUCUGUUAUUAGGGAAGAACAUAUGUGUAAGUAACUGUGCACAUCUUGACGGUACCUAAUCAGAAAGCCACGGCUAACUACGUG
rnacentral:rRNA from 1 species